GCGUGAACGUCGCUGACCCGACCAGUGGCAUCUUCGCUGACCUGAUCGAUGGCAUCACAGCUGCACUCGGCAACACGGCCGCAGCAUCCAAUGGAGCUCAUGCUGUGCCGAUCCUGCUGAGUGUCCUCACACUGUUCAUCAUGCUGAGAGCCUAAGAGUCUCAGAGGAAGCUGUGGCCAGUUGGACACAAUGAAGUGAAGCUUGUGCACUGGAUUUAUGCACGAGUGUCAACAAACUAUGUAUCAGAUGCUUUUACUUAUCUUAUUCAUACGUGUGUCUCAAGCAUCCUUUUUUUUGCACAAUUUGUACCUGAGAAGAAGCUACAGCUAAAAACUUAAUGAUAUUCAGGUUUUUGCAAACACUUCUUGUGGUUUUAGUGACUGGGGUGCAAGAUGAACUUUGUUUUAAGAAUGUUAAAAUUCAGCACUCAGUAGAUUAAUUGUGUUUUUUAUAGUGAAGGAAAUCUACCAACCACUUGCUUAUGUUCCCAGCAAUGCCUGUUUAUAGAAAAGGUGCUGAAAAUUAUGGUUUUGCACUUCAUCUAGAUCUGCCCAUCUGGCACCACAAGCAGUUUCUGCAAAUGUACAGACUUUGGUUGAACAAGUUUUAGCUGUAUCUUGGCAGUAGCUCAGUUAUGGGAAACCCAAGCCAAGACAUAAAAGUUAUUAUAUUUUAAUAUUUACAUGCAAUGUGACAGUAAAAUAUUCAUUGAUCAAAUUGUGCACUUAAUCUAAAAUAAUAAUAAAGUUUAAACUACA